UGGGGAAUAUUGGACAAUGGGCGAAAGCCUGAUCCAGCCAUGCCGCGUGUGUGAAGAAGGCCUUUUGGUUGUAAAGCACUUUAAGCGAGGAGGAGGCUACUUGGAUUAAUACUCUAGGAUAGUGGACGUUACUCGCAGAAUAAGCACCGGCUAACUCUGUGCCAGCAGCCGCGGUAAUACAGAGGGUGCGAGCGUUAAUCGGAUUUACUGGGCGUAAAGCGUGCGUAGGCGGCUUCUUAAGUCGGAUGUGAAAUCCCUGAGCUUAACUUAGGAAUUGCAUUCGAUACUGGGAAGCUAGAGUAUGGGAGAGGAUGGUAGAAUUCCAGGUGUAGCGGUGAAAUGCGUAGAGAUCUGGAGGAAUACCGAUGGCGAAGGCAGCCAUCUGGCCUAAUACUGACGCUGAGGUACGAAAGCAUGGGGAGCAAACAGGAUUAGAUACCCUGGUAGU
rnacentral:rRNA from 1 species